rnacentral:rRNA from 1 species
CUACGGAGGGUGCAAACGUUGUUCGGAAUCACUGGGCGUAAAGGGCGCGCAGGCGGUUUGAUUAGUCAGAUGUGAAAGCCCACGGCUUAACCGUGGAAGUGCUUUUGAAACUGUCAGACUUGAGUACUAGAGGGGAAAGUGGAAUUCCCGGUGUAGAGGUGAAAUUCGUAGAUAUCGGGAGGAAUACCGGUGGCGAAGGCGACUUUCUGGCUAGAUACUGACGCUGAGGCGCGAAAGCGUGGGGAGCAAACAGGAUUAGAAACCCCUGUAGUCC